UUUCCACUAAGCAGAUUUCUCA
rnacentral:siRNA from 1 species